AGAGUUUGAUCCUGGCUCAGAAUGAACGCUGGCGGCAUGCCUAACACAUGCAAGUCGAACGAGACCUUCGGGUCUAGUGGCGCACGGGUGCGUAACGCGUGGGAAUCUACCCUUGGGUUCGGAAUAACAGUUAGAAAUGACUGCUAAUACCGGAUGAUGACUUCGGUCCAAAGAUUUAUCGCCCAGGGAUGAGCCCGCGUAGGAUUAACUAGUUGGUGAGGUAAAGGCUCACCAAGGCGACGAUCCUUAGCUGGUCUGAGAGGAUGAUCAGCCACACUGGGACUGAGACACGGCCCAGACUCCUACGGGAGGCAGCAGUGGGGAAUAUUGGACAAUGGGCGAAAGCCUGAUCCAGCAAUGCCGCGUGAGUGAUGAAGGCCUUAGGGUUGUAAAGCUCUUUUACCCGGGAAGAUAAUGACUGUACCGGGAGAAUAAGCCCCGGCUAACUCCGUGCCAGCAGCCGCGGUAAUACGGAGGGGGCUAGCGUUAUUCGGAAUUACUGGGCGUAAAGCGUACGUAGGCGGCCCUGUAAGUUAGAGGUGAAAGCCCGGAGCUCAACUUCGGAAUUGCCUUUAAGACUGCAGAGCUUGAAUCGUGGAGAGGUUAGUGGAAUUCCGAGUGUAGAGGUGAAAUUCGUAGAUAUUCGGAAGAACACCAGUGGCGAAGGCGACUAACUGGACACGUAUUGACGCUGAGGUACGAAAGCGUGGGGAGCAAACAGGAUUAGAUACCCCGGUAGUCC
rnacentral:rRNA from 1 species